rnacentral:rRNA from 1 species
AUGCCUGGCCAUGCGCUGCUGAGCAGCAUGCUGCUGGUGGUGAUGGCGCAUCUCUCGCGCGCCGAUGGAGCAGUAGGCACGGGUAAGAGCAAGAUCUCAGCCGUCUUCAUGUUCGGCGACUCGAUCGUCGAUCCAGGCAACAACAACAACCGGCUGACGGAGGCGAGGGCCAACUUCCCGCCGUACGGGCAGGACUUCCCUGGCGGGAAGGCCACCGGGAGGUUCUCCAAUGGCAGGGUUCCUGGGGACAUGCUAGCUUCUAAAUUAGGAGUCAAAGAGUUCUUACCACCGUACAAUGGAGAUGAUCUUGAACUAAGUGACCUACUUACUGGUGUCGCAUUUGCCUCUGGAGGCAGUGGAUAUGACCCCUUAACUUCAAUACCCGCAACUGCUACUUCAAGUACUGGGCAACUUGAAUUAUUUCUUGAAUAUAAGGAGAAGCUAAAAACUUUAGUCGGAGAGGAGGAAGCCACACGUGUUAUCUCUGAAGGCAUUUACUUUACUGCCAUGGGUGCAAAUGACAUUGCAAAUAAUUAUUUUUCAAUUCCACUGAGGCGCCAUCAAUAUGAUCUUCCUUCCUACGUGAAUUUUCUUAUCUCUUCCGCGGUAAAUUUUACUAUGAAAUUAAAUGAUUUUGGUGCAAAGAGGAUUGGAUUCUUCGGCAUUCCGCCAAUUGGAUGUUGUCCGUCCCAAAGAAAACAUGGAUCAAGAGAAUGUGACACGCUUCAGAAUCAAGCAGCAGAAUUAUUCAAUUCUGGAAUAGAAAAGGAAAUUGAACGAUUAAAUGCAGAACGAAAUGUUCAUGAUUCAAGGUUUGCUUAUCUUGAUAUAUACUACAACCUUCUUGAUCUCAUUAAACAACAUGAUUUUUAUGGUUUCAAGGAGGUAACUGAGGGGUGUUGUGGCAGCAAUGUGCUAAAUGCGGCAAUAUUCAUUCAAUACCACCCUGCAUGUCCAAACGCUUAUGACUAUAUUUUUUGGGAUAGCUUUCAUUGUACUGAAAAGGCCUACAACAUUGUGAUUGAUGAGAUCUUCCAGCAAAACCUACACUACCUAAUGUGA